CUAACAUGUGUGCGAGUCAAUGGGUCUCGAAUAAGCCCAGAGGCGCAAUGAAAGCAAAGGCCGGACCACUCCGGCUGAGUUGGGAUCCUUCCGCCUUCGAGCGGAGGGCGCACCAACGACCCGUCCUAUCCGAUUUAUCGGUUGGGCGGAGUAUGAGCAUACACGUUGGGACCCGAAAGAUGGUGAACUAUGCCCGGGCAGGACGAGGCCAGAGGAAACUCUGGUGGAGGUCCGUAGCGGUUCUGACGUGCAAAUCGAUCGUCAGAUCCGGGUCUAGGGGCGAAAGACUAAUCGAACCAUCUA
rnacentral:rRNA from 1 species